CGCGACCCCAGGUCAGGCGGGGCUUACCCGCUGAGUUUAAGCAUAUCAAUAAGCGGAGGAAAAGAAACUAACGAGGAUUCCC
rnacentral:rRNA from 1 species